rnacentral:tRNA from 1 species
GCGAGGGUGGCGGAACUGGCAGACGCACUGGACUUAGAAUCCAGCGCCUUCGGGCAUGGGGGUUCAAGCCCCCCCCUUCGCACCA